GAUAGACUUUUAUAAAAUUGCUGG
rnacentral:siRNA from 1 species